GCCCAGCCGUCACCUGCUGCCCUCCUGGCCCCGCGCCUUGUGCCCUUUGUCCAGGCCACGGGGCCCUGCGGUCUGAUCCUGGGCCCCGGCUUGGAGGCUCCCGGCGCGGAGGACGCUGGCCCGCCCGGGCCCCGGGCCCCCAGACUCCCGCUUAGGCGCUGGGCCAGGGGCUGCGUAGGCCCCGCCCAGUCAGGCCUGGCCGGGACAGGGCAGGGCAUUGUUCCUGCACUGACCAACCUCAGUAGCCCUGGCAUGACCUCAGGGAACGGAAACUCUGCUUCCAGCAUCGCUGGCACUGCCCCCCAGAAUGGUGGAACCCUCGUCCCAGCUGGUGGGGAAUCUCAAGAAGUACGCACAGGGGUUCUUGCCUGAGAAGCUUCCACAGCAGGAUCAUAACACCACUACCGACUCAGAGAUGGAGGAGCCCUACCUACAAGAAUCCAAAGAGGAGGGUACUCCCCUCAAACUCAAAUGUGAGCUCUGUGGACGGGUGGACUUUGCCUACAAGUUCAAGCGUUCCAAGCGCUUCUGUUCCAUGGCUUGUGCGAAAGAGGUAUCAUGUGGGAUGCACCAAACGAGUGGGACUUUUUCCACUCAGACCGGAGCAAGCCGCAGAAGGCAGGGACCACAACCACCGACAGGCCAGCAAGGCCAGUCUGCCCACCCUUACCAAGGACACUAAGAAGCAUCCCUCAGGCACUGUACCCCUUUCAGUUGCUGCUGCCUUGCAGUUAGCGCAUAGCCAGGAAGACUCCAGCCGGUGCUCAGAUAACUCAGGCUAUGAGGAACCCUUGUCACCCAUCUCAGCCGGCUCGUCCACCUCCCGACGGCGACAGGGACAGAGGGAUCUGGAGCUCCCUGACAUGUACAUGAGGGACCUUGUGGGCAUGGGACACCACUUCCUACCAAGUGAGCCCACAAAAUGGAAUGUAGAAGAUGUCUCUGAGUUCAUCCGCUCUCUGCCAGGCUGCCAAGAGAUCGCAGAGGAGUUCCGUGCCCAGGAGAUUGAUGGGCAAGCCUUGCUGCUGCUCAAGGAGGACCAUCUAAUGAGCGCCAUGAAUAUCAAGCUGGGGCCUGCCCUGAAGAUCUACACACGCAUCAGCAUGCUCAAGGACUCCUAGAGUCUCUGCUGCUUGCCCACUGCGCCAGGCAGCCAGGGUUCUAGCCCCAGGCGGGCACCGCCUCCUGUUGGAACAGAGCCUCACAGACAUUCCUGAGGGGGCCACAAAAGGGACAGUUUGGAGGGAAGGGGCUCUCCCUAGGGGGUGCAGCUGGGAGGAGGUCUGAGUACCUCUUCAGUGGCUCUCAGGCCAUUUCUGUGGAAGGGGUAGAGGUAGGUGGCACAGAAGAUGGGGCUUUGCCCUUGUAAAUUCUGAUAGCACUGGCUUCCUC